rnacentral:lncRNA from 1 species
GCUGUGUUCAGAGUCAGAUUUAAGUAAGGAAGAAAAAGGGGGAGGGGCAACCCAUGAUCAUCACAAUUAUUCCUAGAUAUUCCUGGAGCACUUACAUAAGGGUCAGAUUUAGGUAAAACAGAGAGACCAGUGGCUGAUCCAAGGGUUGGCUUCUGGAUGGGAAGAUUUAGAUAGGGCAGAAAGGGGGGGGGGGGUGCCAUUAUCAUCACAAUUAUUCCUAGAUAUUCCUGGAGCACUGUGAUCAGAGGCAGAUUCAGGUAGGGCAGAGGGUCCAGUGGCAGAUCCAGGUGUGGGCUUCUGGAUGGAACCCCCCCUUUUUUUGACUAUCAAUGCAUUUGAAUGGUAAGUUAACAUAUGGUUAGAAUCCCCCUUUAUCCGGGGUUG